AGAGUUUGAUCCUGGCUCAGGAUGAACGCUGGCGGCGUGCCUAAUACAUGCAAGUCGAGCGAACGGACGAGAAGCUUGCUUCUCUGAUGUUAGCGGCGGACGGGUGAGUAACACGUGGAUAACCUACCUAUAAGACUGGGAUAACUUCGGGAAACCGUAGCUAAUACCGGAUAAUAUUUUGAACCGCAUGGUUCAAAAGUGAAAGACGGUCUUGCUGUCACUUAUAGAUGGAUCCGCGCUGCAUUAGCUAGUUGGUAAGGUAACGGCUUACCAAGGCAACGAUGCAUAGCCGACCUGAGAGGGUGAUCGGCCACACUGGAACUGAGACACGGUCCAGACUCCUACGGGAGGCAGCAGUAGGGAAUCUUCCGCAAUGGGCGAAAGCCUGACGGAGCAACGCCGCGUGAGUGAUGAAGGUCUUCGGAUCGUAAAACUCUGUUAUUAGGGAAGAACAUAUGUGUAAGUAACUGUGCACAUCUUGACGGUACCUAAUCAGAAAGCCACGGCUAACUACGUGCCAGCAGCCGCGGUAAUACGUAGGUGGCAAGCGUUAUCCGGAAUUAUUGGGCGUAAAGCGCGCGUAGGCGGUUUUUUAAGUCUGAUGUGAAAGCCCACGGCUCAACCGUGGAGGGUCAUUGGAAACUGGAAAACUUGAGUGCAGAAGAGGAAAGUGGAAUUCCAUGUGUAGCGGUGAAAUGCGCAGAGAUAUGGAGGAACACCAGUGGCGAAGGCGACUUUCUGGUCUGUAACUGACGCUGAUGUGCGAAAGCGUGGGGAUCAAACAGGAUUAGAUACCCUGGUAGUCCACGCCGUAAACGAUGAGUGCUAAGUGUUAGGGGGUUUCCGCCCCUUAGUGCUGCAGCUAACGCAUUAAGCACUCCGCCUGGGGAGUACGACCGCAAGGUUGAAACUCAAAGGAAUUGACGGGGACCCGCACAAGCGGUGGAGCAUGUGGUUUAAUUCGAAGCAACGCGAAGAACCUUACCAAAUCUUGACAUCCUUUGACAACUCUAGAGAUAGAGCUUUCCCCUUCGGGGGACAAAGUGACAGGUGGUGCAUGGUUGUCGUCAGCUCGUGUCGUGAGAUGUUGGGUUAAGUCCCGCAACGAGCGCAACCCUUAAGCUUAGUUGCCAUCAUUAAGUUGGGCACUCUAAGUUGACUGCCGGUGACAAACCGGAGGAAGGUGGGGAUGACGUCAAAUCAUCAUGCCCCUUAUGAUUUGGGCUACACACGUGCUACAAUGGACAAUACAAAGGGCAGCGAAACCGCGAGGUCAAGCAAAUCCCAUAAAGUUGUUCUCAGUUCGGAUUGUAGUCUGCAACUCGACUACAUGAAGCUGGAAUCGCUAGUAAUCGUAGAUCAGCAUGCUACGGUGAAUACGUUCCCGGGUCUUGUACACACCGCCCGUCACACCACGAGAGUUUGUAACACCCGAAGCCGGUGGAGUAACCUUUUAGGAGCUAGCCGUCGAAGGUGGGACAAAUGAUUGGGGUGAAGUCGUAACAAGGUAGCCGUAUCGGAAGGUGCGGCUGGAUCACCU
rnacentral:rRNA from 1 species